rnacentral:lncRNA from 1 species
CCACUAUUUGAUGUUGUGUACACAUUCUUAUUCUUAUAUGUUCAUUCUUAUUUUUUGCAUAGGUCAAGUGUGAAUCCAAGUCCGAAGCUGUGAAGCAUAUCAGCAAAGAGUAGUAUAUUAUGUGUUGUAAUUGUAGGUUAAUUUGGGUUGUGGUAUAUUGUAAUAGACUAAUAUAGUGUUGUUUUGGACGAAUUUCAUUUGCUCUUUGGAUUGUUUGAAAUAAUGAUUGUGUAUGUAAUUUGUAUACCCGUGAAAGGAAAACCUGACAAGGGGUUCAAGUUAUAAU